GUGGGGAAUAUUGCACAAUGGGGGAAACCCUGAUGCAGCGACGCCGCGUGAGUGAAGAAGUAUUUCGGUAUGUAAAGCUCUAUCAGCAGGGAAGAUAAUGACGGUACCUGACUAAGAAGCCCCGGCUAACUACGUGCCAGCAGCCGCGGUAAUACGUAGGGGGCAAGCGUUAUCCGGAUUUACUGGGUGUAAAGGGUGCGUAGGUGGCAAGGCAAGUCAGAUGUGAAAGCCCGGGGCUCAACCCCGGUACUGCAUUUGAAACUGUCUAGCUAGAGUGCAGGAGAGGUAAGCGGAAUUCCUAGUGUAGCGGUGAAAUGCGUAGAUAUUAGGAGGAACACCAGUGGCGAAGGCGGCUUACUGGACUGUAACUGACACUGAGGCACGAAAGCGUGGGGAGCAAACAGGAUUAGAAACCCGAGUAGUCC
rnacentral:rRNA from 1 species